rnacentral:rRNA from 1 species
AGCAGCCGCGGUAAUUCCAGCUCCAAUAGCGUAUAUUAAAGUUGUUGCAGUUAAGAAGCUCGUAGUUGAAUUUCGGGACCAAUCUGCCGGUCGUGCCUCCGGUACGCACUGGUUUUAUUGGUUUCUCCCUUCUGACGAACCAUGAUGUCAUUAAUUUGGUGUCAUGGGGAAUCAGGACUGUUACUUUGAAAAAAUUAGAGUGUUUAUAGCAGGCUCACGCUUGAAUACAUUAGCAUGGAAUAAUGAAAUAGGACGUUUGACCCUAUUUUGUUGGUUUCUAGGAUCGACGUAAUGAUUAAUAGGGAUAGUUGGGGGCAUUAGUAUUCAAUUGUCAGAGGUGAAAUUCUUGGAUUUAUUGAAGACUAACUACUGCGAAAGCAUUUGCCAAGGAUGUUUUCAUUAAUCAAGAACGAAAGUUAGGGGAUCGAAGACGAUCAGAUACCGUCGUAGUCUUAACCAUAAACUAUGCCGACUAGGGAUCGGAUGAUGUUAAUUUUUUUCAGUGACUCAUUCGGCGCCU